rnacentral:tRNA from 1 species
AGGGGUGAGAUCCAUUGGGGACAACUGGCCUCCAAAGCCAGCAGCAGCGGGUUCGAUUCCUGUCACCCCUG